rnacentral:rRNA from 1 species
UACGUAGGGUGCGAGCGUUGUCCGGAAUUAUUGGGCGUAAAGAGCUCGUAGGCGGCUUGUUGCGUCAGCUGUGAAAACCCGCAGCUCAACUGUGGGCUUGCAGCUGAUACGGGCAGGCUUGAGUUCGGUAGGGGAGACUGGAAUUCCCGGUGUAGCGGUGAAAUGCGCAGAUAUCGGGAAGAACACCCGUGGCGAAGGCGGCUCUCUGGCCCGGUACUGACGCUGAGGUGCGAAAGCGUGGGGAGCGAACAGG